ACAAAUAUGUUAAUAAUAGUGUUUUAAAUAAAUGAGUAAUAUUCAAAAUAAAAACACCAUAACGAGAGGACGUUUCUGCGAAUGCGUGUCGAUGAUGAUGCCAGCGAGAUAAAACGAAAUAAAUAUUACAAAUAUUUGAAAUGAACGACCACACAUUAGCGAGCACGUGACGAGUGAGUUUAUAGACGUAUGAAGGGGGAAUGAGAAUAUGAGUUUGGAGGGUGUUCCUGAGUACAACCACAAUCUGCAACCGCACGCAUUUGCUUUAAUUAAUAAGCCAGCCCCUAAACUAAACUUUGGAUGGUUUCCGUGUCCACACGAAAUGUGUCAUAAUUUCUAUUUAUGGUCAGGCAUUGUGGGCACGUCGCAUUUAUUAUGAUUUAAUUUAAUAAAUUACAGCAGCUCCUCAGUGAGCAUUUGAAAAAAUUGCUACGACAAGCUCAACACGCAAGAUAGCAAUGUUGUUCACGAAAUUUUUCCUAACACAAUAAAAAAGAGUUGCGUGCCACAUAUUAGCAUACAUACAUACUAUAUAUGGAAUGCGCACUCGAAUAUACUGGUAUAUGAAAACAAGAAUAUUGUUCAUUGCUUUACACAAAUGGCAUACUUCACUUGGAGUAAUGGUAAAAGCCUUAGACAAUUACUUCUCCUCUGGCAAAACAAAAUAAAAGGAUUAUUAUUGAAUUCAGAAUGCUAUGAAAACUUCUUAAUAACUAAAAGAGAAUUUUUUGUAGUAUUUAAUAAAUCUCACUGAACGUAAACAUAACUUUAUUCAAAGAAGUAAUAGAAAUUUGAUAUCUCUGCAUCUUAACAUGAGCAAACGCAUUGAUUAUGUUACUCAAAUUACAGUAAUUUGCUUUAAGAAGACAUUGGGUGUGCCAGAGCUAAUUAAUGCAUAGGUAAACCAAUAAGUCGUUCCUAUUUCAAAAAUCUAACUUAAAUGCCAGCUCCUUCAUAAUUUACAGGUCAACGAAAAGUAAAAGCAAGCGAAACAACAUCUGCGGAAGAAGCAGUGCUUUAAAUGCAAAUUUUAUUGUGUAUAAAUUAAUAAAGAAGACAAGUAGUGCCCAGUAUGAAAUGAACAAAUCACCUGGUUACUCAAUUUACAUAAAUGCCUAAUAAGUUUUUAUGCAUAUUAAUUAAGUCAUAAAAAAGGAGCAUUAAAAGGAGCCACAAACAAAACUUCUUUAGUGUGCUUCAACUGAAACAAUUUCCCGAUUUAUGUUUUCCAUUUAUGGUUUAGCUGAAAUAAACGAGCGCAAAUU